rnacentral:misc_RNA from 1 species
GUUUACAUCGAUUAUAUUGUGUUUUAAAGCUUUCGCUUUUAAACGUGGUUUACAGGUAUAAAACAUAAUAAAGUUUGUUCAUAAAGCUGGCGGGACGACGACAAAAGAGCCCAUAGGGGCACAUAAGUCGGUUUACAACUUCCCGCCAAGAUACGGUUACGAUUCACAUAAGGGUUGGUUUGCCGAACCUUACCACGUCGCGCUUGUUUAAGGCGCGACGCGAAUAAGGCGACAGGUUAUUUUGUAAUGAUCCAACCGCAGGUUCACCUACGGUUA